CAGCAGCCGCGGGAAUACGUAGGGUGCAAGCGUUAAUCGGAAUUACUGGGCGUAAAGCGUCCGCAGGCGGUUAUAUAAGACAGAUGUGAAAUCCCCGGGCUCAACCUGGGAACUGCAUUUGUGACUGUAUAGCUAGAGUACGGCAGAGGGGGAUGGAAUUCCGCGUGUAGCAGUGAAAUGCGUAGAUAUGCGGAGGAACACCGAUGGCGAAGGCAAUCCCCUGGGCCUGUACUGACGCUCAUGCACGAAAGCGUGGGGAGCAAACAGGAUUAGAUACCCGAGUAGUCCCUGUCUCUUAUAC
rnacentral:rRNA from 1 species